rnacentral:rRNA from 1 species
GACGAACGCUGGCGGCGUGCCUAAUACAUGCAAGUAGAACGCUGAAGGAGGAGCUUGCUUCUCUGGAUGAGUUGCGAACGGGUGAGUAACGCGUAGGUAACCUGCCUGGUAGCGGGGGAUAACUAUUGGAAACGAUAGCUAAUACCGCAUAAGAGUAGAUGUUGCAUGACAUUUGCUUAAAAGGUGCAAUUGCAUCACUACCAGAUGGACCUGCGUUGUAUUAGCUAGUUGGUGAGGUAACGGCUCACCAAGGCGACGAUACAUAGCCGACCUGAGAGGGUGAUCGGCCACACUGGGACUGAGACACGGCCCAGACUCCUACGGGAGGCAGCAGUAGGGAAUCUUCGGCAAUGGACGGAAGUCUGACCGAGCAACGCCGCGUGAGUGAAGAAGGUUUUCGGAUCGUAAAGCUCUGUUGUAAGAGAAGAACGAGUGUGAGAGUGGAAAGUUCACACUGUGACGGUAUCUGACCAGAAAGGGACGGCUAACUACGUG